rnacentral:tRNA from 1 species
UCCCUGGUGGUUCAGAUGGUAAAGUGUCUGCCUGCAAUGCGGGAGACCCAGGUUUGAUUCCUGGGUCGGGAA